UACGUAGGGUGCGAGCGUGUCCGGAAUUAUUGGGCGUAAAGAGCUUGUAGGCGGUUUGUCGCGUCUGCUGUGAAAACUCGAGGCUCAACCUCGGGCUUGCAGUGGGUACGGGCAGACUAGAGUGCGGUAGGGGGAGACUGGAAUUCCUGGUGUAGCGGUGGAAUGCGCAGAUAUCAGGAGGAACACCGAUGGCGAAGGCAGGUCUCUGGGCCGCAACUGACGCUGGAGGAAGCGAAAGCAUGGGGAGCGAACAGG
rnacentral:rRNA from 1 species